rnacentral:lncRNA from 1 species
AUGCGUCAUCCUAACUUAUGUAACUUAUCACUUUUUACGUCAUGAUUCCUCUUACAUGCGUCAUCCUAUCUUAUGUCACUUAUACUUUAUCUUACGUCGUUCCUGUUGAGUCACUCAUCUCCCUUAUCUGACUUAUGUCAUUGUGAUAAUGAAGCCAUAUAUGCACUUGCUGCCUUGACCACAGCGUCAUUCGUUCAAUAUUCUUAUCGAGAGUACAAGCCUUCUGUGCUUUGUUUACAUCGUUGUUUUGAUUGUAGAGUGAUCCCUGUUUCUUAAUAUAUCUUUUUUAAAGUUAUUUUCGAGACUUGUAUUUAAUUGGCGCAGUCGGGAAAGGAUCUGCUUAGAUACGUGUUCGCCCGUCUCAACGAUUCUCGUAUCGUUCGUUUCAACGAUUUAAAGCAGUUUCGAACAGUUCGCAUCGCCUUGUGCUUCCGCUUUAGACGACGCAACCCGGUUUCAACUCAUCACCGUUCUGGCGUAAACAGAGAAGAAGUUGCAGUGUUUUUCAGCCACUGAAAGGAAGAUCAGAUUCUAUCGUUACCCACUACAGCCUGGACAUCAAGUGAAGCAGCCAUCCUCAGCUCAAAUGUGGAUCGCACGAUUUGUUUGUUUAGCUGUCCACAGAUGCACCGCUGUACAGAUAGAAGACAAUGCCCCAUGUUGCCUAGAUUUUCAGCAACACGGUACAACGAGCCAAUGCCCUUUUGUGACCGUUGCCCGUUCUCCACUGGUAUAUUCAUCAACAACUCUUGGACGCACCAUUCUGUUUCUCCCUGAUGAAACCCGCCUGAAUAUAUCAUGCAACGCUCAAACGGAAUCCAAACUCUACUCUGGACUCCUUCUACUGGCAAACACCAAUUGCUCAAUGAAUCUCGACGGAACAAUCUUGCAUCUCAAUAGUACAACCAUUACUCAACCUCACGUCUCCGAUUUACAGCCUCUUGAAACGAACUUUGUACAUGUUGCUCCUGCAAACCUCAGCUUGACAGAUUUAAUGUUCAAUAGCCAUUCUGCCUAUAUGCCGUUACCAAUUAUUCCAGUCGUAACAGCUGAUACCAAUCAUACUUUUAUUAUGUAUUUAAUUUUAGGUACAUCUCUAGGCGUAGUAUUGAUUUUUCAAAGUACCAUAUAUUGUUCUUCAAAAAAUAGGCCAGAACAGAUGAUUCAGUUGCAACCUUUAAAACUCAGUUAG